rnacentral:ncRNA from 1 species
CUCAUCAAGACCAGCUGAGGGACAGGCCCGUUGACGCUGGGGCAACCGCCGAACAAGCCGGCCGGCUUUUAGGAAAGGUGCCAAUUCCUGCGAAGCAGCAUCCGCUGUUUCGGAAGAUGAG